UUGUUGAAUGCAUGUUGUUGAACAUCAGAAGAAACCCAUCCAGAAUGUAGGCUGCUAUUGAAACGUGGGUGAGAGUGGAUGAAUGAAUACAGAGAGGUUACAGCUCAGUCAGCUCUGAUGUCUUUUUGAAAGUAGGCAUAUCUUUUUAAGAAGGAGCAAUCUGCAAGUGAGUUUGGAAGCAGCUCUCAUGUUCGCCAAAUGCAAACUGCGUUCUGAGAAUACCAAAUGCAGUUCCGAAGCAAUGGAAGAACUCUACUCACAGGGAGUCGUGAUAAAGCAGAGCAUCAGCCCUUUCCGCUCGGAUACCAAUAAGUCUUGCACUUCAAAAUUGCUGGCCUAAAAAGGAUACUUAAG